rnacentral:rRNA from 1 species
UACGUAGGGUGCAAGCGUUGUCCGGAAUUAUUGGGCGUAAAGAGCUCGUAGGCGGCUUGUCACGUCGGCUGUGAAAAACCCGCAGCUCAACUGUGGGCUUGCAGCUGAUACGGGCAGGCUUGAGUUCGGUAGGGGAGACUGGAAUUCCUGGUGUAGCGGUGAAAUGCGCAGAUAUCAGGAGGAACACCGGUGGCGAAGGCGGGUCUCUGGGCCGAUACUGACGCUGAGGAGCGAAAGCGUGGGGAGCGAACAGG